CAAACAGGGUAAGAGACAAGCCAGGGUCACACAGCUAGCAAGUAUCAGAGAACAGAUUUGAACUCAUGAAAUGAGUCUUCCUGUCUCCAGUCCCAGUACUCUUAUCAACAGCACCAUUUAGUUGCUCCAAUAUAUAUGCCUGCCCAUUCUAACUUUUUUGUUCACAUCCUACCAAAAAUUCACCAUAGAAGAUGUUAGAAGGACUUCCUGGAUUUCUCCUGAUAUUUGGUGGGUUUCAGGAGAAUACGAUGGCAUUCAGUGUUGAGUUACAGGACUGUACUCAUAGGCAAUCCAUAAUGCCUGGACACGACCCUUAAAUUCUGCAUUCAUUCAUUCAACAAAUAUGAUUAAGCAUUCAGAAUGCUCUCAGCAUUGUUGGAGGCUCUUGGAAAGAAGGGUCAAAAACCUCGGUCCCGAAGGCAGAAGGAAAUGACAUAAGCACAGAUAAGAAAAUACGAAAAUACACAAGUGAUUUGGAGGAGAAAGGCACUAGCAACUGGCUGCAUCAGGCUAGGCAUUCCUGCUGAGAUGGCUGAAGCUUUGGAAAGAAGCAGAGGAUUCUAGGAGGCAAAUUACCGUGCCAUCUUUUCCCACUCUCGCCCCUCAAAGGAGAUGUUUUUAUAUACACUCUACUGACCUACUGUGGGGAGAGCAGAACAUGCGCGGUUAGAAGAAAGGACUGUAGUGGACGCAUGGUGAAAGGUUGAACUCACCUGGAGAGGCCAGCAGCACUUUGGCCCCACUACACUGGAAGCAAUGUAUCAGUGACUUGGCUCGGAUGUUGUAGUUGAGACAGGCCAUGGCGCAGCCCAACUUCAGCAUCCCCAGCCACAGCCAAGCAUAGGCCGGCUCGUUGGCCAGAAAGACGGCCACGCAAUCCCCCUGCCGAAGUCCGAGGCGGUCGUGAAGCAAACGUGCCGCUUGGUUGCUCCGUCGGUCCACCUGCGCGUAGGAGAGAGUCUCAUCUUGGAAGAGCACAAAUGGUUUGUUUGGGGUCUGGCGCACUCGCUCCAAGAAGGCGGUCAAGAUCGUGCGCACCGGCCGGCGUCGCGAGUAGCUGCGUACUCUUCGGGCCACUCCGACCACCUUCAGGAAGUACCCAGUGUCCUGGAAGAAGUAGGGGCAGCAGAAAUUCACCAGCAGCGGAAGGAGCAGCAGCCCCGCCACUGCCGUGUAGAUGGCGGGGAGCAUGAUGGUGGCGAUGCCCCCUGUCCCCGAAAGGGCAGCGGGCGAACUCCGGGCGUGCAGCGCGACGCUAGGGGCGGGCGAACUCCGGGAAAGGGGCGGCGGACUCGCGGGAGAGUGGGAGGGAAGGAGCGAGGGCGGGGAGCUAGCUUCAGGGAAGCCGCGGGAGCACGGGCCAGGGAAGACCGGGGUACAAGCUCUAGGAGACUAGAGACAAGGAGAUGGUGUACACCAACCCUUAAACAGGAACGCGGGGGAUUGAAGGGAGAAGGAUGAGACCUAAAAGCGAGGGAUGAGCCGAGAGCGUAGAUGCCAAAUCGAACGCACCACGGAGCCUCAGAUGAUCAGGGGGAAGGCGGGCUGGGUUUUAGGUCGACUCCGGGGGAAGGUGGAGCUCCUUGGCCCUCUUAGCGCCCGGCGGGGAUUGAUCCAAGGAAAGCCCCGCCCACCCGGUAGGGCGGGUGGUUACCUGUGCUUAAGCACGAUGUCACAGUUAGGCUCAGGCUACCUAAAGCUUCCUCCAGCCCGGACCUGGGAGGAGAAAGUCGGUGUUUCCGGGGUCUUUGUUGUAAUCUUCCCCCCGCCAUCCCCCUAUCCCCCAGGAGCGAGCACUUUCUCUCCAGCUAGUACUAAUGAUCUUGUACCCACCUCCUUUCCAGGAGUAAGGUGUUUCAACUCUUUGUUUCCGAACUCUUUUAUUGGAGGUUUUUUCCUUUUCUCCAGUUUCUCCAAUUUCUAAGGGCGACCCUCAUUGCCCAAGUUGAAGUACAAAGUAGCCUGAGUAAUUUUUAUUGGUGCUUGGCAGUUUCACAGUUAUAGGGUCUGGCAGGCCACUGUUGUUAAGAUACAGAACGGGCAAGCCCAAUCAGCAAACCCGGUCAACGCCGCCAGAAACUGGGCAUCGUCUUGACACAGGUACCACUAAGCCGCCCGGAAUUCAUACCUAUUUAUUUCAUGAUAAUGCCAAAUUCCAGGGCUAAGCCAAUUUGGCUAUCAGAAUGUUGUUACAUAUUUCUGAUAUAUUUGCGGAGAAUCUCCAACUAUUGUGCGUUGCAAACUGCACCUCUUCAAUUACUUUUUUGCAAUACGUCUCCCCCACCCCCACGGUCCAACGGUUCUGGUACACAAUGCCUUUUCAGUAAAUGUUCUUUACUGACGACUGCUACGCAAUAGCAAUCACCAUGGAGUAUUGUUGGGACUUCACUAGCCUCAGAGAAUUUCUUUCUCUCUUCCUUUGACCUCCCCUUUGUUCCCAAAAGAGAGUCGACAUAAUGCCUUAUAUUCAAAUAGGGCUUUAAGUUUACAAAAUCCUUUACUCGCAGAAACAGGGAGAUUUCGUAUUAUAGUCAAUGACUUGAUUAAAGUCGGUAAUAAAUAGUUAUCAAAUUUGAUGGUGACAAAAAGUCGAAAGGUGGGAUCCAAGAGAAUCUCAACCCGAUAGAAAGCUGAGCUAAAUUUAAUAGGAAGACACUUUAUAGGGAUAAAGGAAAAAUAGUAUUCCUGAGUUUGAAAAAGCUGAUUCACACAUCUGAUGUGUGGGAGGCAUGGCUAAUAGUCAGAUGGAAAAAAAAAAUCCGAAAUGAACCUCAAUGAAUGAAGAAGAUCUGAAACAAACUCAAAUGAACCUCAAACGCAGUAUGAGCUAACAGUGUGGCAUAGCUGCUAAAAAAACCUAUCAUUAAGAGAAGGCUGCUGUGAGACAGGAUGAGGGAAAUUAUUGAUAGUUCCACUCUGCUCUGUUCUGAUCACAUCUGGAAAUAUUGUGUUGUUUGAUGUAUUGGAUAUUAGGAAGAGCACAGUUAACCUGGAAAAUUUGCAGAUUGGGGGUAAUGAUGUGCUAUGUUCAGUUCUUUAGGUUGUGUCUAGUUCUUCAGUGACCCAAUUUGGGGUUUUCUUGGCAAAGAUGGUUUGCCAUUUCCUUCUCCAGUUCAUUUUAUAGACGAGGAAUGGAGACAAACAGGGUUAAGUGACUUGCCCAGGGUCAAGAAGCUAAGAAGUGUCUGUGACCAAAUUUGAACUCAGACCUUCCUGACUCUAAGCUGCUACAUGAUAACUGAUAUUUAAAAGUUUGUUUUCUUAUUGAAUCCUCAUAACAAUCCUGGAGAAAAUUAUACAGAUAUUAUUAUACCUAUUUUGCAGAUAAAGAAAUUGAGACUGAGAUUUUAAGGGAUAUGCCUAUAGGGAUGGGGGUGGACAAUGGUGUCAAGGGCUUUUUCCCCAAAACCAUAGUACCUCUUAUUUUUUUUUUAAUCUUCCCUAAGGACGGAUGGAAAUUAGCAUUUAUUCAAUCCUUAUUUUGUACCAAGCAUCUAAAAAAUUAUCUCAUUUGACCCUUACAAGAACCCUAGCAGGUAAUUAAAAACAAACAAAACUGACAUUUAUAUAGCACCGUGCUUGGUAUUGUGUUAGCUCUUUACAAAUUAUUCUUACAUUUGAUCCUCACAACAAUUCUGGGAGGUAGGUACUAUUAUUAUACCCAUUUUAAGUUGAGGAAAAUAGGGCAGAAGGAAGUUUAGUGACUUGCCUGGAGUCACAUCUAGGACCUGAUUUGAAUUUAGGGUCUGUCUGACUCCAGGAUCAGCACCUAAUCCACUGCGCCACCUAGCUGCCUCUAAGGAUAAGGGUAUCAAGAGCAUGUUAUUGGUGGAACGUUUAACUGGAGACUUGGUGAGGGAUGGGGAUGGAGGAAGGGAGGGAGGAGUUUAAAGAUAAUUGACUUCAACUACAAGAAAGGAUAUUGUAGAAGAGGAAUUGUACUGAUUCUUCUUGGCCAUGGAAGCCCAAACUAGAAGGAGUAUGUGGAAAUUAUAGUGAGUCAGAUAUAGGUAUGAUGUAGGAAAAAAAUAUCCUAACAGAACGAUCUGAAAGUAGAAUGAAUUGCCUUGGAAGGUUCUAGGGUCUUUAAGCAAAGGCUGUAUUAUUCCUCAUUGGGUAUGUUAUUGAGGGGGUUUUUGUUCACGUAUUAUAACAUAUGGUCUUUGAUAUUCCUAUCAACUUGGACUUUCUCUGAUACAUAAUAGAAACAUUAUCUCCAUUUAACAGAAGAGGCAACAGGUUUAGACAGAUGAAAUAAUUUGCUCCUGGUUAGAACCAGGGUCUUCUGAUUCUAAGCCCAGUUCUCUGUCCAUGAUACAACACUUUUUCUCUAGAGCAGCCAUACAAUACAUUUCUCUUGCCCUGUUCUUCCUGCCAGUAUUGAUUCUUCACAUUAUCCAUAUUUUGUUACCCUCUGUUACUUUAUUUUUCUUCCCAUUCCUCCAUUAUUCUAGUAUCUACGAGAUUCAGUUUCUGGCUCUCCCUUCUCUGAGGCAUUAUGCUUUGAGUAUUUGGGAGUGGGAGUCUGAAAAUUUUAAUUCUUCUUUUCAAAAAAACAAAUAGUGAUAAAUUUUCUUUUUACAUCAAGUGAAUUUCUUAUUGUCCUUUAUCCCAUCUUCUCCCAGAGAAUCAUCCAAUAUAAUAAAUAAUUUUCCAAAAGAGAGAGAGAAAAAAAACAAGUUCAGUGAUACCUUUUAACAGAUGAAAAAAGUUUGAUGUAAAUUAAGUGUUCCACAAUCAUUGUCUUCCACCUCUGCAAAAAAGUGGAAGGAGGUGUUUUCUCUUAUCUCUUCCUUGGUCCAUAUAAUUUUCCAAAAUUGUUUCUAUUUUAUUUUUGUUCUUAUUUAUAAUUCCAUUGUUGUAGUCAUUUUAUGCAUAUGCUUUUUGUGUUUCUACUCAUUUCAAUUUACAUCGGUUCAUAUAAACUAGUCCUCUUCAUAUUCAUCAUUUCCUGUAACAAGUAAUAUUUCAUUAUAUUCCUGUGCUAGAAUGUAUUUAAGUAUUCUCCAAUCAAUGGAUAUCUACUUUUGUAUCUAGUCCUUUGCUCUACCAUACAAAGUAUCACUAUAAAUACAUUAAAAAAAUUUAAAACCCUUACCUUCUGCUUUAGAACCAAUACUUGUAUUGGUUCUAAGACAGAAGAAUGGCAAGGGUUAGGCAAUGAGGGUUAAGUGACUUGCUCAGGGUCACACAGCUGGGAAAUGUCUGAGGUCAGAUUUGAACCUAGGACCUCCCAUCUCUAGGCCUGGCUCUCAAUCCACUGGGCUACCCAGCUGCCCCCUACUAUAAUUAUUUUGAUGAAUAUGCGCCUUCCUUUCUAUCACUGACCUCUGUGAGGCAUAUACCAGCAGUAGAAUCUCUGGGUCAAAAGUUAUGGGCAUUUUAGUCAUUUUAAUGUAACUUUUGAUAUUUAUCAGCUAUGAUUCCAUGGGCUUCUCUCUCUCUCUCUCUCUCUCUCUCUCUCUCUCUCUCUCUCUCUCUCUCUCUUCUAUGUGUUUAAAUUCUUAUCUUUUCUCUUAGUAUUAAUUCUAAGACAGAAGAGUGGCAAAGACUUGCCCAGGGUCACAUAGAUAGGAAGUGUUUGAGGCUAGAUUUGAAUGCAGGUCCUCCCAACUCUAGGCCUGACACUCUAUCCAUUGUGCUACCUAGCUGCCCUCUGAGUAGAUCUCUUAACAUAAGUUUUUUUUUUGUGUGUGAAUAAAAAGUACCAAAUAGUAUGCAUUUCACAAGACUGUUGUGUCAAAUGAGAAUUUAUGUAAGGGGUUUCUGUUCCAAUACUCCAAUGGAUUUAUGACCUCAUCAGUGUAGAUGUUUCCUCUGAUUGUAAGUUCCCAACCCAUCCAUGCUGGCUCAUAUUUUGAUGACUUUUAUCCUUAUUUUCCCAUAAGGGCAUCAUUAAAAGUCUGUUCAAACAUAAUGGAAGUCUUGCUCAUAUUCUCUUGACAUCUGGAUGAUAUUGGUGGACACUAAUAUAAUAAUAUAGGUAAGUUACCAAUCAACCAAUAAACAUUUAUUAAGUGCCUACUAUAUGCCAGGGACUGUGCUGAUAGAUAGAAAUUUAAAAAAAGGCAAAAGAUAAUCCCUGCCCUCUAGGAAUUUAAAAUCUAGUUGGAGAAACAACAUUCAAACAAAUAUAUACAAAGCAACUUAUAUGUAGGAAAAAUAGAAAUAAUUAACAGAGAGAAGGCACUAGAAGUAAGCAGGGUUAGGGAAGACUUCCUAUAGAAGAUGGGAUUUUAGUUGGGAUUUAAAGGAAGCCAGAGAAAUCAGUAGGUAGAGAUGAAAAGAGAAACCAUUCCUGUCAUAAGGAACAGUCAGAGAAGUUAUCAGUUAUCCUUUUCUUUUACCUAGGAGGAGAGACAUGGAACAUUUGGUUUGUGGAAGUCAGGUGGCCAAUGUCACUGGAUCAAAGAAUAUGUGUUAGUGAGUAAGGUAUAAGAGGACUGGAAAGGUACAGGGGGAUAGUUUAUAAAGGGCUGUGAAUGCCAUACAGAACAUUGUGAUUUUGAUUCUGAAGGCAAUAGGCAGCCUCUGGAGUUAAUAGAGUAUGUGUGAUAUGAUUGGAUUUGCCCUUUAGUGGUUGAAUGGAGGAUGGAUUAGAGUAGGGAGAGAGUUGAGGCAGGCAAGACCCACCAGCAGGUUAUUGCAAUAAUUUAGGCAUGAAAUGACGAGGGCUUGAACUAGAGAGGUGGUAGUGUCAGAGAAGAGAAGAGGGCAUAUGAGAGAUGCUGCAAAGGUAAAGUGAUAGCCUUGGACAAUAGAUUGGAUAAAGGGGUAAGAGAGAAUGAGGAAUCCAGCAUAGGUUUUGAGCUUGAGGAAAUGGGAGGAUAGUAUUGCCCUCUACGGGAAGAUAGGCGGGAGAGAGGGGUCAGGGGAAAAAAUAAUGACUUCAGUUUUGGACAUAUUGAGUUUAAGAUGUCUACUGAACAUCUAGUUCAAGAUGUCUGAAAGACAGUUGGAGAUAUGAGUUUGGAGGUGAGCAGAGGUCAGUUAUCCUUUUCUUUUACUAGUGACCUACACAUUUUCUUGAUCAGUUAUACCUUGCUUAGAAGACAUUCUUUAUACCACUUGUCUGUCCCAUGUACUUUUUUUUUUUUUUGGUGUAAUGUAUUUAAUCCUGUUUAGGUCUACCAUUACUUCUUAAAGUGACCCUUAACUUCAGUUCUUUGGAGACUAUAAUUUCCUGACUCAACCAGAUAACAUCACAAGGAGGAUUUGGGUGUCAAAAAGAUGGACAAUUUCAGGGAGAAUUUUGCUUCUUAAAUGAACUUUGCUAUAUUCCAAAAGUAGUCCAACCUGUUCUCUGUUAAAUUCUGAGUCAAGCUCAUUGUCCACUUGCAGUUUCUAAGAUACACUGAUAUAUGCCAUUAUAGUUCUAAUUCUUUAUGUAUUUGUCUUUUUUGUUCUUGGAAAUUUUUAUGUCUGCUGAUUAUCCUCUUUACAUUUUACAUAUAUGUACACACAAAGUUUUAAAUUAUUAAGGCUUAAAACUGCCCAAAGACUUUUAGGAUAUCUUAUAGACCUACAUAUAUGCACACAUACAUAGAUACACAUGCAUACAUACAUAUGUCUACAAAUGUCCAUUCAGCUCCAUAGUGUAGUCUAAAUAAUAGAUAUUCAUCAAUUCAUUAGUUUUCCAGUAUUAUUAUAUAUUAUAUAUUUCUAGUAUAUAAAAGUUAUUCCAAACUCUUUUGAGGAUUAUGGGAAGUUUCUGCAGUGUUCUGUGGUUUGAUGUAAAUUGGUACAAUAAAGAAACAGGAUCAUCUGGAGGUUGAUCCUUAUUUAGGGAAUCUCUCAGUUUAGGCUACUGGAUCUUUCCCAAGACAAUGGUAGACAUCUCUGAUAAAAUGUAUCUGUUUUAUAUCUUGCCGACCAGAGUUUUAUUGAACAAGAUUAUGUCAUUAUAUCAUUCAGGGAAUCUUGUAUAAUUUUGACAUGUGCAUGUGAAACAAUAGCUAGAGAGUUUUUAAUGGGAGCAUUUUGCUCUUCAAAUUUAUUUGAUUUUAAAGAAAUGGCCAACAAACAAUGACAGUGAAUCUUGCAUACUUUACACAUUCUAGUCAAUUGUGAAACCAUAAUGAAAUGUUUGUUGUGGACUUACUUAAAAAAGCCUGGCUGUUCCCUCCUUAAAACCUCAUCGAGUGAUUUCAGAAGAAGCUAGAAAGAUCUACAUGAAAUGAAGUAGAACAAAAUAAUCAGACUGAAAAAUCUUUGUAUACAGAAAUAGCAAUAUUUUAUGAUCAACUGUGAAAGACUUAAGCUACUUUCAUCAAUACAAUGAUCUGGGGCAAUUCUGAAGGACUUAUGACAAAAGAUGCUACCCACCUCCAGAGAAAGAACUGCUGGAGUCAUUUAUUUAUGGUUUUAUUUUGAGGUUCAGGUUCUAUAUGAGUAUUCUCUUACAACAGUGACCAAUAUAAAAGAAUGUUUUGCAUGAUAAUAUAUGUAUAACCUAGAUGAAAUUGUUUACCAUUUACAAGAGGGAGAAUUAAGGAAGACAAUUUGGAUCUUAUAACUUAAGAAAAAAAUGUUGAAAAUUGUUAUUAUAUGUGACUGGGAAAAUAAAAUAUCUGCGAAUUAAAAAA